rfam:Parcubacteria group bacterium RIFCSPHIGHO2_01_FTLL_47_10b rifcsphigho2_01_scaffold_1920, whole genome shotgun sequence.
GCCCCUGUAGCUUAGUGGUAAAGCGGCGGCCUCUUAAGCCGUUUACGUGGGUCCGAUUCCCUCCGGGGGCA